AACGAACGCUGGCGGCAGGCUUAACACAUGCAAGUCGAGCGAGACCUUCGGGUCUAGCGGCGGACGGGUGAGUAACGCGUGGGAACGUGCCCUUCUCUACGGAAUAGCCCCGGGAAACUGGGAGUACUACCGUAUACGCACUUUGGCGGAAAGAUUUAUCGGAGAAGGAUCGGCCCGCGUUGGAUUAGGUAGUUGGUGGGGUAAUGGCCCACCAAGCCGACGACCCAUAGCUGGUUUGAGAGGAUGAUCAGCUACACUGGGACUGAGACACGGCCCAGACUCCUACGGGAGGCAGCAGUGGGGAAUCUUAGACAAUGGGGGCAACCCUGAUCUAGCCAUGCCGCGUGAGUGAUGAAGGCCUUAGGGUUGUAAAGCUCUUUCAGCUGGGAAGAUAAUGACGGUACCAGCAGAAGAAGCCCCGGCUAACUCCGUGCCAGCCGCCGCCGUAACAC
rnacentral:rRNA from 1 species